AUUGAACGCUGGCGGCAUGCUUUACACAUGCAAGUCGAACGGUAACAGGCCGCAAGGUGCUGACGAGUGGCGAACGGGUGAGUAAUGCAUCGGAACGUGCCCAGUCGUGGGGGAUAACGCAGCGAAAGCUGUGCUAAUACCGCAUACGAUCUAUGGAUGAAAGCGGGGGACCGUAAGGCCUCGCGCGAUUGGAGCGGCCGAUGUCAGAUUAGGUAGUUGGUGGGGUAAAGGCUCACCAAGCCGACGAUCUGUAGCUGGUCUGAGAGGACGACCAGCCACACUGGGACUGAGACACGGCCCAGACUCCUACGGGAGGCAGCAGUGGGGAAUUUUGGGCAAUGGGCGCAAGCCUGAUCCAGCAAUGCCGCGUGCAGGAAGAAGGCCUUCGGGUUGUAAACUGCUUUUGUACGGAACGAAAAGGCUCUGGUUAAUACCUGGGGCUCAUGACGGUACCGUAAGAAUAAGCACCGGCUAACUACGUGCCAGCAGCCGCCGCCG
rnacentral:rRNA from 1 species